GCUGAAACACCAGUUCUCAUACAAUCACAGAAGUUAAGCAAUGUCAGGCCUAGUCAGUACCUAGAUGGGUGACUGCUUGGGAAUACCUG